GUGAGUACAAGAGAUUUUCAGGCAAAUUUGUGAUGCAGAAAUUUAAAAAUUUUAUGAAUAUGCAAAUUGGUGGCAGGUUGUCAUGUUUUAAUGACAUAUAAAAUAAUGUAUAAAAAUAUAAAAUAGUAUGAUAGCUAUAGUCUGACCUAAAGGAAGUCCAAAGAAAGGGAAAGUCUAUGGAAAAAUAUGAAAGUGCUAGAAUAAGAAAUAAUUCUCCCAUAGAGAAGUCUGUUUCAGUCAUCAUCGGAAAAGCUUCCUCCUGCAGUAGAUGGAGACAAAUACAGAGAAGCUUAAUUGAACAGUGUUCAGAAUCAGAGAGCUUGGAAUACUCAGUCCUAAAUGGUAUGCCUUCAUCAAACCCCUUGGGGCUCAUGGAACUCUGCAGAAGAGGAAGCAAAAAGAUUGUAAGAGCCAGUGGAGAUAAAGGACACCAAGAAAACUUAACAGGACUGGUAAACAUAUGAACUCACAGAGACUGUGGCAGCAUCACAGAGCCCGCACAGGUUCAGGCCAGAAGGUCUCUCCGCACUGAGAUUGAUGUGACGAACAACAAAGGGAUCGAGGGUCUCUAAAGAGGUCAGAAAGCCAAAGGAGUCUCCACCUACUAAGUGGGAAAGUCAGAAGCAGACUGGUCUCGUAGAAGCUUCUACAAUCUGCCGAGUCUCCAGAAAGCUUUCAUGAGUGUUCUGGGUACGGAGAAAGGCACCCUUCUCAAGGGUUUCUAUGACCUUCACAUCUGUUUAUGCAUCUGGCUGCAACCACCUCUCUAGAACACUGUCCCCUCUAUCCCUCUUCCGGUCACAUAGAGUGUCUACACACGGCAUCUGUGAGCUAAAGCCACAUGGGAAAGGUGACCACGGGAUACGAGUUCUACCUUCUCUACAGGGCAAUGGGACCCCAAGGGAACAACAGAAAAAAUGGAAUAAAGAGACAUAGUGGACAACUUCUGUUUGGCAACAUGGCACUGAUAUGGCUAUCUGCCAUGCUCAAGAGAACCCAUGUUGGACAACCAGGGACCUAGGAGUCAUUCUAAACUUGCUGACCACAAAUAUCCAAGAAUCCCAAAAAGACAGUCAUGCUGGUUAGUGUUUUGUCAACUUGACACAAGUUAAUGUCAUAUUGGAAGAAGGAAUCUCAACUGAGAAAACACCUCUAUAAGAUUUAGAUAAAUUUCUCACUCACUCUCAUCAAAAAGAAGGAAAGAGAGAAAAAAAGGAAGGAAGGAAGGAAAAGAAAAAGAAAACAAAAAACUCCUCUUUAUAGCAAAUGGAGAAACACUGCAGAAAACCAUACCAUAACUGGACACACUGAAGAGAUCAAAGAAUCAUGGAUGUCACAGCACCAAUGGAUACAUCUACAACACAACUCUUGUACCCAAGGCUCAGGAAAUAUUAUGUAAAAGGGAGCAGAAAGGAUUGUAAGCACCAGAGGGCAAGGAAGUCUGUUGUGGAAACAUUGUCUCCUAGAAGUGGCUUCCAAAACAAGACCUGAACAAUGGUGAUAUCAAUAGACAUGCUAAUGCAGAAAUGGAGAAAAUCUCAUGGGGUCCCACCCCUAGACAAAGAACUACAGGCAUCUAAUGACUACAAGAAAGGAAAACAGGUUCUCCUAGAGAAGACUUUCUAAUUGCUUAUCCAAUACAAGGUGAUCUGUUCUGAUUGUACAUGCAAACAACAAAAAAUGGACUUGUGAGAUUAUAUUUAUGUAUUUGUGCAUGUGUGUAUACACAUACAUGUGCAUGUGCGUGUCUGUGUGUAAUAAUAAUAACAAAGAAAAAGAGGCCAUCAAUUUGAAAGUGAGUGGGAGGGCAUGGAGGAAGGGGACGUGGGAGAGGUUGAAGUGAGAAAAGGGAAGAGGGGAGUGAUAUAAUCUUAUUUUGAUUAAAGGCAUAUUAAAAAUAAUAAGCAUUUUUAGAAGUAUAGGAAGUUGUGAAACCCAAGACAUACAAGUCAUGAGGUACAUUUUAAGAUUGCUUUGUUUUGUUUUGUCUGUAUGUAAGUCUGUGUACCACACACACAUUAGUGACCACAGAAAUCAGAAGAAGAAAAUGAACCAUAGGAAACAGAGUUACAAAUAGUAGUGAGUCACAGUGUGGGUUCUAGGAAUCAAACCACAAUCCUCUGGAAGUACACCCAGUGCACUUAACCUCUAGCCUGUUUUUUAGCCCCUACUUUUUUCUAGUGGAAAAUUUGAAUAAGAUUUGGAGAUACAUACAUACAUACAUACAUAUAUAUGAAACAUACAUAAAAAUAUAUAUUGGAAGUGUGUAUAUAUAUUAGAUAUAUAUGUAUAUAUUUGGAAAAUAUAAUCUGUGAAAUAUUUGAGUGCAGAACUAAUAAGGUACACGAGCUCUAGUAUUUAGCCCAUGUGCUGUAAUAAGGUUCAAACACUAAAAAUCAUUUUGUACUAUUUGCUGGGUUGUGACUUGGAUUUUCACAAAGGGAAAAUAAAAAGAAAUUAGAACAAGCUGCAGGUUUUCCUUCUGCAAGAUUACAUUUUGUUGCAAACCCUGUAGGAUCAAUUAAAUUGGAAAAUAGAAAGUGUCCUAGUUACUUACAAUUUUUUAUAAAAAUCACAAAGUAAAAAAUAAACUAUUACACAGACAUAAGAGCAAAAACUAUUAGAAUUCAUAAUAACCCAUAUCAUUUUAUCAGGUAUUCUCCCCCAAAGGCAUUUUCUGCUCAUAAGAAUUGCUUCCUUUUACUCUAGACAAUUAUAGCUUAUAAAAAUCAUCUAAUGUUUAUUUUUAAAGUCUAAAUGUGAUUAAGAUAUAGAGAUUAUAGCAAUAAAAUAAGAAUAAGUUAUACAGAUGAUUAAACUUAAAGUAAUUUAAGGACUAACAUAAUAAAUUUACAUGGAUGCUGAUGUUAAAAAUAAUUCAGAUGACACAUGUAGUUUUGUUUCUGAAUUUCUUUCUAAUAGAGUUUCAGGUUAAAGGUCAAAUAUACUUUUUCUUUAAAUUCAUCAGCAAAUAUUUGCACAUGCACAGUCCUCAGACUAGAAACCUUUCCAUGCUGCUUUCUAUACCCUCUGUGCAAUUCUCACAAGAUGGAGGAGGGCACGUUCCAACAAAGCCUGAGCGUGUGCAGCUUGCCACCUGUACACCAACAGAAAUAGGGGCCCCAUUCUGAGGGAGAAAGAAAUUCACUGGGAACUUCUGGGAGUCUCAAAUGAUCUGAAUUCACCUAUACUAACUAAUUUGAUCUACAAAACACAAAUUUCUAGGAACUGUAUUUUUCAACAUCAGCCUGGCAACUUACUUUCAUUUUACUUUCAAAGAAAGAAAAAGACAAAAACAAGAUGCAAGAAAAAGGUACAGAAAAUGGAAAUGGUGGAUCCUUUUUCAUCAUAAACUGCAUCUUAGCCUGGGCCUUUUCAUUUAGCAUAAAGAUCACUAUUUUAAAUUACGAAGAAGGCAGACAAUGAGAAUGAAUUGCCAUGGGUUUUUGUGUUCUCAUUAAAUAAGAGAAUUUGAUGAUUAUUCCUGGAAUGAUCCUCCUCCUCUGCAGCAUAGAUGGAGACAUUGUCUGAUUUGGGAAAACGUCAUGCAACUCUAUUAAAUUCCACUGGUGUUUUUUGUGUACACACUUUGAAGGUAUUUUUACAAGAUGCUCUUACUCUUUUACACACAUGCAAAGAUCCACUUUCUUAUUAGCUUUUUAUUCCUUACAACCAUGAAGCUGAAUUCAAUGAAGACUGUAACGUCUAUGUAGAAAAUGAUGGUCCAGUGUGCACCAGGACCUAUCGGACAAACUGAGCCCAUCAGGUCAUUGACUUUCCAUUUGUUGGUUUUUAGAGGCAGCAGUUUUUAGUUUCAGUGAAUAAGAAUGAGGCAGAGAACACAAAAGCAAAAACAGAGAACCAGAAGCCAACUGUAGAGGAAAGGGAGAAAGGACGUAUGAGGUCCAUUUUUAAUGAUUUUUAAUGACAAGAUUAGAAAUCCAUACUAGAAUUUAUCAUGCAAAUUAAUAUUUUAAAUAUGUGUAAGAGUUCUAAUAGGGAAAAAGAAAGCUAAAAAUGUUCAUCAAUGAAUACCAGGUUAUAGUUAGGACUAUAGUUCUGGUGAACUACAGCACAGCAGAGUGAAUUUGAAAAAUUAUAAUAUUCUAUGUAAUUCUAAAAGCUACAAAAAAAGAAUUUCAAAGGGUCACCAGAAUGAAAUAAUAAAUGUUUGAGGAGAUAAAUAUAUUUACCUUGUCUUGAACUUUACACAACAUGUUCAUUCAUCAACCCUGCAAUUUUUUCAAUUAAAAAGACAAUUAUAACUUAAAAACUAAAGUGGAUUCUAAAUGAAUUACUGAUAUAAUGGAAUUAAGUACCACUAUUCAUCAAUGAAAAGUUAAGUAUUUAUGCCACAACUGUUAGUAAAUAUAUGUAAAUAUAUACAUAUAUAAAUUUCCAAGUUGUGUGUAUAGAAUGAACUUGUGCAAAAGAUAUAGCUCAUUGAUAGAUUGUGGCUCACACUUGUAAUCCCAGCAGGUGGGAAGCAGACAGAAGAGAAAAUAGGGAGUCCCAGGUCAAACUGUGGUGUAUUGUUGAAACUCCCAUAAACAAGAAAGGGCUUGCCAUGAAUCCUUGAAUAUGUGCACUUAUUUAUGAAUUAAAAUUUCUUUCCCUACUUGGUGAGUACUUUGUCCAGACCAAAUGAAAAGUAGAAUAUUAUAGUCUCAUGUGAAAAGUUUGUCUAACAUCUUUAGUCGGAACACUGGGGGAAAUAUUUUUUUGGAACAGCAUUUGGGCUGUAAUUCAGGAAUGUGGUGAGUGCCACCAUGCUGUGCACAGAGCUGUGCAUAUUCUAGUGAGAAGUAACAAAUGAGCAAACAGUAAAUGAAUUCAUUCAGUACACUGGAGGUAAGCAGUGCUGCGGAAGGGUAACAGAGCCGAGUAUCCAAUACUAGAAUUGUUCAGCUAUAGAGAGAGAUCACUUGUUUUGCAGUUUUAAAUAGAGAAGUGGCCUGGAGGAGUAAACAUGUGCUCAGACCUGAAGGCCAAAGACAGUUUCUCCAUGAAUUAGGGAUCUAUCUUGUGAAGGAUGGCUGUUAAGUCAAGGAUAGCUGCAAGGUUUCUAGCUGAGGAACUAGACGGGGAUAUCAUUGAUGAAGAUUAAGAAGACUGCUCACAACAAAUCCAGUGCACUUUUCCUAUGCUUGCUCCUUCAGGCUAUUUAACACAUCCAUUUUGCUUGCUGCAGCACCCGUGCUGGGGCUCCCAUUUUUUUUUCCUCAGGCUACAGCCUCUUUGCCCCCCACUAGCACACUAGCACUACCUCCCUGCGACAGUCCCUACAUAACCUCUCCCAGUAAGGCCAUCUCUUCUGUCUUCUUUUCUGAUUCUCCACUAUCUGCAGAAAAAUCCCGCAGAUGUGCCUCUUUCUACCAUUCUCGGCCAUCAACCCUUCUGCUGUUUAUUCUAAAGUUAUCCCUGACAAAGUCAGGUUGUUCUUCCCACUCACUCCCCAAACUCAUUUCUGGUUCUGAUAAUUAAAUAAUUUAAGUUAAUGUAUCUUCUCUCUCACCCUGUUCCGCAGUCCUUGAUGACUAACAUCUAGAAAUUAAGACGCAUCUCAAAGUGUUUAAAAUGUUGUCAAGGUCGAGGGAAGUAACAGGAGUCUGUGUAAAUGAAGUGAGGUGGCAAAGCCAGAAUACAGAAUGUAUAAGCUGCUGUAGAUUAAAAGAACUCCGAUAGUGUCCUGAGGACAUUUGCCACUCACAGUGGGACAGAGUGACCUUGAAUGUGUGCAAGGCAGAAGGCUCCAAGUAAGAUCUGCAUUAAAAGCCAGGACCCUGGAAUGGCUCAUCGAGUGAAUUGGUACUGGGAAUAGUCAUUGGUCUAGAGUCUACAAGCAGCCUUAGCUCCUCCAGAGUCAUGGAAUAGGGAACAGAGGCAGGCAAUAGGUAGAGAGCAUCUGAGAGAAUAAAACUCUUAAUCCUGUGCUGUGCAGCACAUAAAAUUUAAAUGUAUGCUAUUAGUGUUGCAUGGAAAUUUCAGGUUAAAAAAUUAAAACCUAAUACAACUGAGAAAAGUCAAGACACUUCAAGAGGCUGCCCUCUAAGAACACUUCUACAACUCACAGGAGAGAAGAAAAGAAAAUCAUGCAAUUGAAACAAAACAGGAGCUACAUACAGAUAGAUAAUCUACUACCAAAAAUUAAUCAGAAAAAAUAAUAUCCAGUAAGAAGACUCAUAUUCCUAGAAACUCAAAUUUUAAAAAAUUGAAAAUGAGUAUAUAAUGAAAGUUUAAAUGCACUAGAAUCCUUGAAGAAAAAAGAUGGAACAUCUUUUUAGAAGACAUAUUUGAAGAAGAGUCAAGUAUCACAUACGUCCAAAUAUAAAGAAUACAGAAAUGCUUUUUCCAUUUGGGCACACAUGUUAUUUAAUACAAGAUUUUCUUUUUUUCAGUGUUCCCUGAGCACAAACAUGCUAAUGUGGAUAACUGAUCAUAUAUGAUUGCUGAGGAACUUUAAUGUACCAAUGGUGCUAUAACUAGAAUUUUAAUAUGGUAUUUUAUAAAGGAAUAAUACAAUUUAUAAUGUUGCUUUCCUCAUACUUUCAUUUUAUGUUUAAACAUUUUUUAAAAUCAUAGCAAAAAUCAAUGAUUUCCCCACAAAUAUGUGAAUUUCAUGAAGGUUCCAUGGCUUGAAAAUGUUGUUCUAAGCAGUAGACAGACCAAAAGUCAAAAUGAUUAAUUUAGGAGUCUAGCGUUUUUAUACUUAUAUUGAACUAUUUUUUUUUAGAACAAAUUGACCCAGUCUAAACUAUAAGAGUUCAUCUAUUUAACAUAGCAGUUGUAAUCUCUAAAUAUUAGUGAGUUCUUUCUUACCUUUUUCCAUUAACAUUUUAGAAUGUGAAAUGUUCUAAAUUUCACAUUCUAAAAUGUUAGAAGAAGAAGACUGCUCACAACAAAUCCAGUGCACUUUUCCUAUGCUUGCUGUGGAAUACAAUUGUGCAGUCCUAGGGUCUUUGAACCCAUAAAUAAUGACUGAAUUAUUGCCGAGUCAGUGGACUCAUAAUGAUCAGUUAAGUGUUUCCUUUACUAAAUAAUAUUUAAUACAUAAAUAUAUGAUAUUGAUUUUUCCAAAGAAUAAUGUCAAUGGGUCAAAUGUAAGACAACUAACAUUUAGAUGAUAAACAUUGUUUAGGUUUAUUCUCUAGAAUUAAAAUUUCUAAUACAAUUUUUUUUCUAUCUCUAACCUGGAGGGUUCCUCACCUAAAAAUUCCAGUUCUGUGUUUGUUUGUUGUUUCAUGGAGGCCAGGCUAUCCUUCAAUUUUCUUAUUUUUUUUUUAAACUUCUUUAUUGAGUCUUGGAGAGUUUCACAUCAUGCACCCCAAUUCUGUUCACCUCCCAGUUCCCCCAUACAUCCCCCUCAUCCUUGUUGCAUGCCCCCCAUGAAAGAAAGCAAAACAAAGUAAGCAAGCAACCAAACAAGCAAGAACCAAACAAAGAAACAACAACAACAACAACAAAAAAAAAAAACCCAAUAAACCAUAACAGAACAAAAACCACACUGGAAACAGAAAAAAAAACUCUGUUUCUCCUCUCCUAACUCUCCAUCACUUCUUCAUCCGUCCUGAUGGCAUUGGAGGCUUCGGUAUGUCAUGUCCUAUACCCCUUUGUCCCAUCAGCUUGACAAGCACCUGUUCAUUGCAGUGAGUCAUUGGUCUGGUUCAAGGCUUCUGGUUUUUGGUAUAACAUCCUCACUGGAUCCUCACCAGAGCUCUUCUGGGUUAUUUCAUGUCUUGGAGAUCUUGCAGGAAUCCUUCACCUCAGGUAGCCUUACGAAUCAAGUGAGAGAAAAUCAGAGGGCAAUACUGAGGCCGCUCCGCCCAUCACUACCCUGGGAAAGCUGGCCUAGCCUCUUGUGGGCCACUGCAGCAAGAGAGCUGGCCCCUACACUCAGGAGAGAGGGCCCCCACCCCCUGAACACAGGCAAGGAUGAGCCUACCCUGAGGGCAUGCAUUAGGGGAACUGACUCUGCCACCUCACCAAAGGCAGUUGGCCCCAGUGGGUCGAUCUGACCUGCCUGACUAGAACCCGAGCCACAACUGGGCCUUAGGUUUACCCACCCUAGCAUCUACCCCAUCUAGGUCCUGCUGGAGCUCAUGAAGGGACUGGUCUUACUGAACCAUGUCCUUGAACUUUCUAUGUGGCUGAGGCUGACCUUGUAUUCUUGAUCCUGUUCCCUCUACCUCACAUGAUCUGGGACUAUACUUAUACACCAAAACACCCAGCUAGAACCUUUACAUGUGCCUUUCAUAUGGGAAAUCUCUUUUCCUCUGAAUGUAGUUUGUCAAUUUUUUUUUUUAUAUCUGGGAUAAAUCUUUAAAUUUUCCUAGCCUGCAGAAAGCAACAGUAUCAUUGGCCAGUCCAUUUUUUUUUCCUUCUGGGAACACUAGGAUUCCUGGAAAGCAGAGAACACUUAUGUUACAAUGCCUCUCAAGGUAUCUUAAAUUUCACAUCCACAGGCAUUUCAGUACUAAAUGAAUUGGGUACUUUGAAUCUUUAUGUCCUCGUAGCCCACUAUAACACAAUGUGAUAGUAAUUGGUCUGCAACCGAAUUUUUCUACCUUCCCUUCAUAAUAAACAUGAACAUGUUAGCAGUUCAUAUGCGUAGAGUGGGUAAGUUUUGAAAUUAGGCACAUUUAUACAAGCCUUAGGCUGUAACAAAAUAUAAAAUGUGUACCAUCACAUGUUUAUGUUAAUUGGGUAAGUAAGAUCAUAAAUUGAAAAAAAAAUAUUGUUUUGUCAAAUGUUCUAUAAUAAAAGAAAUUUUGUUAAAUCUCACAAGUGCUUAUGUAUGUGUGAGAAAAAGAUUAUUAUUAUUAAAUAGUCUAUCUUUGAUUUAAAUUAUAUAUUUUGUUAAAGUGGACUGAUUAGCAUUACAUUACUCUUCUGUAAAAUGAAGUUCAUAAAGUAUGGCCCAGGUACUAAAUAACUGUUGGAUGAAAGAAAAUAACUGAAUGAAUAUGAUUAUUUAAAAUAUGACUUUUUGUAAUGGUUUCAAUGUAUAUUUAUUAGCUAAUAACUUGUGAAUUUGCUUAGGCAGGGCCUAUCAAGUUGAUUCAUUUCUUCAUUUCAUGUGUUUUUGUUACGUUAGAUGAUCGAACUAUAUUGAUUUCAAUAUGAUUAUAUAGGAGAAGCUCCAAGAAAAGCUGUUGUGUGUUUAUUAGGUUGUGGGGAAAGCAAGAAGGCUGUAGUAGAGAAGGAGCACAAGGGGAAAGAGAGAAGGUAUGGUAGCAUGCGAGCACGUGUGAGCGUGUAGGGGUGUAGCAACAUGCUAUUUCACCUACAGGCAGAUAAGAUGCUUUAUAGUACUGCUUUAUAAUCAUUUUAACUGUGAAUGUGUUCUGCAUAUAGUAUACAUGCAUUAUCCUACACCUUAAAACAGACAGAAUCUUGCAUAUGGAGUCUGUAUCACUCCCUGGGCUCCUGUAACAAAGCGUCACGUCCUUCACACCCUGGGUAACCUGGAACAACGGAAGUUCAUCCUUACAGUUCUGGAGGCUAAACAUCUGCCAUGGCUUUACUGGGGCAAUGCUGUCUCUGGAGCUUUAGGGGAGAAUCUUGGUCCUUCUCAGAGCUGCUGCAGCUCAUGUCCUUGCCUUCCCUGGGCUUACAGAGUGGUGUGUUCUCCCUGUGGCUUCUUGUGGCUUCUCUCAAAACUCUACCACACAGACAUCAGUCAUAAUCUAUUAGUCCUCUCCCUAAUUCAAUGUAAUCUUGGUUUAAGGUAAACCAGUAAAGAGCCUACUUCAAAGCCAGGACACAUUCCCAGGUAUUAGGGGUACUUCCAGACUAUUGAGGGAAAAGCAGUAAAUACCAGCAUCUUCCUCAAAAGACUUGUUAAUGAUAAUGAAAAUUCAAGUUCAAAUGGUUGCUCAUAAUUUUAGAUACAUGUAGUCUGUUCUGACACGUUCCAUUCACAUUGUCAAGUGUUAAUGGUAAGAGUAUAUGUGUUGUGCAUGUGUUGGGGAGGGGAUACAAGCUAUCAGAAAUUAAGUGCAGCUGUGAGCCUGAGUUAAAUUUGGCCUGUCUAUUUACACACUAGUUCAAUGUGCAGCAAAUGAAAGUCACAUUGCAAAGCAUACAGUAUAGAUUAUGGCAGAAGUCCAGCCUCCCUCAUCUUCUAAUCGCUGUCUGUGUGUGUGUGUGUGUGUGUGUGUGUGUG